GACGGGGGAGGGGGGAGGGGUUAGGUGUUCUUCGUAAUUACUGGGCGUAAAGGGCACGUACACGGUAAAUCAGGUUAAAAGUGAAAGCCGCCAAAAACGGUCGGAAUGCUCUCAAAACCAGAGGAUAGUGGAAUUUCAUUUGUAGGGGUGAAAUCCGGAGAUCUACGAAGGAACGCCAAAAGCAAAGGCAGCUCUCUAGGUCCCUACCGAUACUGAGGUGCGAAUGCAUGGGGAUCAAACACG
rnacentral:rRNA from 1 species